GUUUGAGAUCACAAAGGUUCAAAACAGGGAAUGAUUACUGCUGUAAGAGACACAGGAAAACCAGGUCACAAGUAGUCAGCUGGGAACAGGAGUCCUAAGGAGGGAUCAAUGCUGCGCAGUAACCGGCACCACGGGCCGCUGCCCAGAUACGGCUAGGGAGACUGACGUUGUCCCGUUUUGGGAACAGGGCCUCCCCUUAGGUGAGAAUCAACUGGCACAAACCUCCUCACUCUGAGAGUCCCCGGGAAGCGUCUUGCCAUCUACUCCACCAGUGUAGCGCCAUGUUCCCAACUACAGCAGCUUGGUGCCACCGGCCUAAUGCCUGAGAAGAACUGGUGCUCCCCACUGGCCCCUACAGGUUCGGCCUCCUCUGUGCAACCUCGUGGACCCUCAACUUUCUCCAGGCAUAAUGAAAGGCCUUUGCUUCCUACGCCUUGGAAAAUAACCCCCAAAUUAGUUUCUACUAAGAGGUUUCUCAGAGCUUGGAAUAGUGCCAAGGUUUCUUUAGAAAAUCUAAAAAUAAAAAUUU